GCUCUGACCUCGGAUCAGGUA
rnacentral:rRNA from 1 species